UAGGGAAUCUUCGGCAAUGGGGGCAACCCUGACCGAGCAACGCCGCGUGAGUGAAGAAGGUUUUCGGAUCGUAAAGCUCUGUUGUAAGUCAAGAACGGGUGUGAGAGUGGAAAGUUCACACUGUGACGGUAGCUUACCAGAAAGGGACGGCUAACUACGUGCCAGCAGCCGCGGUAAUACGUAGGUCCCGAGCGUUGUCCGGAUUUAUUGGGCGUAAAGCGAGCGCGGGCGGUUUGAUAAGUCUGAAGUUAAA
rnacentral:rRNA from 1 species